CUACCCAGGGUUCCCAACGGAGAAAUAUUGAGUUUACUAGAAAAAUACCGUACCGAUUAUCAGUAUGAAAAAUUGAACUGAAGAUAAAAUCCAGGAAAUAUGGGUAGAUAUCAAUAUAGUGGAGGCAGUCGUUGUUGUGUCAGUAAUUGUUCAGCAAGAAAUAGAUGUAAAAAUGAAAAAACUGACACCAAAAUAUUCUCUACAAAAUGUAAUGGCAAAAUACUAAAAUUCUGUCUGAAACAUCUCCAAGAUUAUCAGGCUCUAAAAAAAGAAGAGGUCAAUUCAUCCAAUGAUUCGACCAAUGCUAGCUACAAGGUUGGAGGUAAAUCCGUAGAAAACUCUUUUCAAUAAGUACUUUUGACAUAUUGUCACCCCCAGUAAAACAAUUGUAGCACCAAUUAUAAGGAAUGAAAUAUGGAACUUCUGAGAGAGAAAUAAUUUUAAAUAGUGGCUUACUGGAAAAGCUGGAACCAGGGGACUCAGUAAUGGCUGAUAAGGGGUUCAUAUUUCCAAAGAACUUGCAGAUAUUGAUGUUGAUUUGAAUAUACCACCAUUUUCAUAUGGCAAUAAUCAACAAUUCACUGACGCAGAUGAAACUCUGACUAGGGAUAUUGCAAGUGUUCGUGUUCAUGUUGAGAGAAUUAUAAGAAAUGUGAAAUUAAACAGAAUAUUGCGCUGUAGCAUUCCAAAUACUAUGGCUGACCAAUUGAACCAAAUUUGGGUGGUGUGUUGCCAUCUGACAAAUUUUAGAAAAAAACCCCUGUUGGAUAUAAAAAUCAAGAAAAAAUAGAAGAACAGGAGAUUAUAAGUUCAUUUCAGAUGUAUAUUAUUUGUAUUUUUGUUAUAAAAUAUUUAUGAAAA